rnacentral:lncRNA from 1 species
UACAGAUACUUGAAGAUAAGCAAGUUUCAGCUAUAGAAAAGAUGUACUGCUAAAAUAGAAAAACAAAAGAGCUUUUAUUGCCACUCUUGUCAUAGUGCUGGGCUUAUUCACUCUCCCAAUAAAAUUCUACUUUAUUUCACUAUAGGAAUUAGGCAAGUGUCAGUUUGAAAAGAUGUGCUGCUCAAAUAGAAAUAAACAGAAAAGUUCUGCAAUAGGAAAGAAGAUUGAGAACAUUGCUGUUAUUGUCACUAUUGUCAUAGUGCUGGGCUUAUUCACUCUCCCAAUAAUAUUCUAUUAUACUUCAAGUUAUAACAGGGACACCUCUAACAAUGCCAGCAUCUAUUACAAAGGAUUUAAUAGCAACAUCACUGGAAUAAGCCAAAACUGCACCAGACUAUCAUGGAGUCAGGAUAAUGAUGCCUCAGAAUGUCAUGAGUAUACUGGAAUUGCUUGUAGAAACUUCUUACAUCAAUGGUUUCAAUGUACCAUUGGAGAAGGUGAAUUGAAUAUUGGAGUAAGUCAACAAGAACAAAAUCAACAUGAACAGACAAUCACAUCACUCAAUUCUUAUUUAGAAAUCUACAAGCAAUGUCAACAACAAUCAUCAGCUUUCAUAUGUCAAUAUUUCUUUCCUCUUGCUGAUUGCUCAACUGGGAAAUCUUACAAGGCUACCAAGGAAGAUUGCCUCCUCAUAAGUACAGGUGUUUGUUUAGACCUGUGGGCACUAGCAAACAACUCUGGGAAUGGCUCACUCCUACCUGAUUGUUCUACACUACCAAAUGCUGCCAAUGAUUCAUCUUCUGUCACAAUUCCAAUUGAAGGCAUGAAUUAUUGAUACCAAUGAUAGUGAUGGUAUAGAGUGCAGAGAAGAUUUUGUUAAAACAGAUUUAAUCUGUGAGCCAAGAUGUGACAGUUUUGAAGGAAGCUCUCAUUCAGAGUCCUUUUUUUUCUAUUCAGAAGUUGUUGCAACCAGUAUAUCCCUAACUUUCUGCAUUGUUGCAAUUAUUGUUGCUGUAAAGGAAUAUAAAACACUGCUAGCAUAUCCUUCUAUAUUGGUGCUUUUUCAAGUCAUAGACAUAACUGUAGUGGGUAUAGUACUAAUCACAACUGCUAUUUAUCGGUAUGAAUUAUACUGCAGUUCAGUUAGUCUAUUGGAGACAUUAAAUAAUCCAACUCCUUUUUGCAAAUUUUCAGGAGUUGUAUUUCAUUAUACUUUUGCAAACAUGGCACUGUCGUGGUUCUUUCAUGUUGCUAUAUUUUUUUACAAAGUAUUGUUUCCCUUCCAAGCAAAUAGAUUUGAAAAGCUGGGACGUAACAAGUACAUAUUUGCAACUGUGACAAUUUUAUCUCUACUACUUCCAUUGCCAGCUAUCAUCAUCUGCCUCACUGUUGACAAAUUCAAAUAUAAUAUUCAUCGUUUCCCAACAACUAUUUGCACCAGCAGUAGUGGCAUGAUGUUCUAUUCUAUAACACUUCUAAUGGAUGUACUAUUUGCUACUGGAGUUAUAAUGCUGAUUAUAGUUCUUUGGACUAUGAGAAAUAACACACAUUUUUUGAAUAAAAGAAGAGGUCAUACUAAGCUAAGCACUGCUGAGAAAAAAAUCCUAUUGGCUUUUUCAAUUUUUAUUAUUUUUGGUGUUUUUAAUGUAGCCCACCAAUGCAACACAGAAGCAAAAAAUGCCGAGUAUCAAGCAGCUUUAGAAGAAUAUUUUGAAUGUGAGGCGUUGGGUUACAUCCCUGGAAAGUGUGACAGAGGAACAUUUGAUAAGAUCCGUAGCCCUUACAUGAGUGCCACUGCAUACAUACUAAUGAAUUUGAUACCAUUGAGCAUUUUGAACUUCAUACUUAAGUGGAGCUCAGUUAAAAGCGCUGGAAAUAAAGCAGUAACAUUGACAAAAAGGUAUUCAAGUUUCCUGUAUUGUGGAAAAAGUGGAAAAAGUUCUUCUGCAACUUCCUGUGAAAGUGUUCCUGAUGAUUUAUCAUCAAAAUCAGAUAAAAGUACAAAUAGUCAGAACUCUGCUGUAUAAUUUAACUUUUAUUUUCUGCUUAUAAAUUAGACCUCUAACUUCUGUGUGCAAUAUGUGAUUGUUCUAUAUCUGGAUUUUUUAGUAUUAAAAACUUCUGAAGUGCUGAAA